GGAGAGGUGGUCGAGUGGUUUAAGGCUCUAGUCUUGAAAACUAGCGUACCGGCAACGGUACCGUGGGUUCGAAUCCCACCCUCUCCGCCA
rnacentral:tRNA from 1 species